rnacentral:rRNA from 1 species
CUUUGACCUGAAAUCAGGUAGGGCUACCCGCUGAACUU